rnacentral:rRNA from 1 species
UACGUAGGGUGCAAGCGUUGUCCGGAAUUAUUGGGCGUAAAGAGCUCGUAGGCGGUUCGUCACGUCGGCUGUGAAAUCCCGAGGCUCAACCUCGGGUCUGCAGUCGAUACGGGCGGACUGGAGUACUGCAGGGGAGACUGGAAUUCCUGGUGUAGCGGUGAAAUGCGCAGAUAUCAGGAGGAACACCGGUGGCGAAGGCGGGUCUCUGGGCAGUAACUGACGCUGAGGAGCGAAAGCGUGGGGAGCGAACAGG